GCCCGCUUGGCUCAGUGGUAGAGCGUGUCACUAGUAGUCAAAAUAUGACAAGGUCAUCAGUUCGAUUCUGAUAGUGGGCA
rnacentral:tRNA from 1 species